rnacentral:rRNA from 1 species
CAUUACAGAGUUGCAAAACUCCAACAAACCAUCGCGAAUCUUACCCGUACGGUUGCCUCGGCGCUGGCGGUCCGGAAGGCCCUCGGGCCCCCCGGAUCCUCGGGUCUCCCGCUCGCGGGAGGCUGCCCGCCGGAGUGCCGAAACCAAACUCUUGAUAUUUUAUGUCUCUCUGAGUAAACUUUUAAAUAAGUCAAAACUUUCAACAACGGAUCUCUUGGUUCUGGCAUCGAUGAAGAACGCAGCGAAAUGCGAUAAGUAAUGUGAAUUGCAGAAUUCAGUGAAUCAUCGAAUCUUUGAACGCACAUUGCGCUCGCCAGUAUUCUGGCGAGCAUGCCUGUUCGAGCGUCAUUUCAACCAUCAAGCUCUGCUUGCGUUGGGGAUCCGCGUCUGACGCGGUCCCUCAAAAACAGUGGCGGGCUCGCUAGUCACACCGAGCGUAGUAACUCUACAUCGCUAUGGUCGUGCGGCGGGUUCUUGCCGUAAAACCCCCAAUUUCUAAGGUUGACCUCGGAUCAGGUAGGAAUACCCGCUGAACUUAAGCAUAUCAA